rnacentral:rRNA from 1 species
UACGAAGGGGGCUAGCGUUGCUCGGAAUUACUGGGCGUAAAGCGUACGUAGGCGGUCUUUUAAGUCGGGGGUGAAAUCCUGGAGCUCAACUCCAGAACUGCCUUCGAUACUGGAAGACUUGAGUCCGGGAGAGGUGAGUGGAACUGCGAGUGUAGAGGUGAAAUUCGUAGAUAUUCGCAAGAACACCAGUGGCGAAGGCGGCUCACUGGCCCGGUACUGACGCUGAGGUGCGAAAGCGUGGGGAGCAAACAGG